AACGAACGCUGGCGGCAUGCCUAACACAUGCAAGUCGAACGAGACCUUCGGGUCUAGUGGCGCACGGGUGCGUAACGCGUGGGAACCUGCCCUUAGGUUCGGAAUAACUCCCCGAAAGGGGUGCUAAUACCGGAUAAUGUCUUCGGACCAAGAUUUAUCGCCUUUGGAUGGGCCCGCGUGGGAUUAGCUAGUCGGUAGGGUAAAAGCCUACCAAGGCGACGAUCCAUAGCUGGUCUGAGAGGAUGAUCAGCCACACUGGGACUGAGACACGGCCCAGACUCCUACGGGAGGCAGCAGUGGGGAAUAUUGGACAAUGGGCGAAAGCCUGAUCCAGCAAUGCCGCGUGAGUGAUGAAGGCCUUAGGGUUGUAAAGCUCUUUUACCCGGGAUGAUAAUGACAGUACCGGGAGAAUAAGCUCCGGCUAACUCCGUG
rnacentral:rRNA from 1 species